CUCACAUGUGUUUCAGGUGUAGCUGACACAUGGUUGAGGUGUGGCUGACAUGUGACACAAGCAUUGCUCAGGCAUGGUUUAGGUGUGGCUCACAUGUGGUUCAGGUGAUGUUGAACCAUGGUGCAUAUGUGCUUCACAUGUUGUUCAUGAGUGGUUCAAGCAUGGUUCAAGCAUGGUUCAUAUAUAGUUCAUUCCUGGUUCAGGUGUGCCUCACACAUGGUUCAGGUAUAGUCCAGGUGUGACUCAAAACUGGUCAACGUGUGGCUCACAAGUGUUUCAGGAUUGGCUCACAGGUGGUUCAGGCAUUGCUGACACAUGGUGGAGGUGUGGCUGACAUGUGGCUCACUCAUGGCUCAGGCAUGGCUUGCACAUCGCUCAGGCAAAGCUGACAUGUGGAUCAUGGGUGGCUCCUGCGUGUCUCAGGCAUGGCUUACAUGUGGCUCCUGCAUGUUUAAUGUGUGGCAUGUUUGGUUCAGUCAUAGCUGACACGUGUUUAUGGUGUGGCUGGCAUGUGGUUCGGGCAUGGCUGGCAUGUGGCUCAGGUGUGGCUGACACCUAUUGUCAGUGUGGAUGAACCAUGCCUCAGACAUGGAUGGCACAUGCUUCCAGCGUGUCCGGCAGGUGUUUAGGGCAUGGACGACACAUGGGUCAGUUUUGGCUGGCACAUGGUUCAGGCUUUGAUGGCACAUGGUUCAGGCAUGGCCAGAAUAUGGUUCAGGUGUGGCAGGCACGUGUUUCUGACAUGGCCAGCACAUUGAUCUUGAAUGACCGGCAUGUGGUUCAGGUGUGGUGGGAAUGUGGUUCAAGGGUGACAGGAACAUCACUCAGGCAUGGUGGAAUGGUGGUUCCGGCAUGGUGGAACUGUUGUUCAACCACAACAAGCACAUGUUUCAGGCAUGGCUGGCACAUGGAUCCAGCGUGUCUUGCACAUGGUAUAGAUGUGGCAGAAAUGUUAUUAAGGCAUGGCUGGCAUAUGGUUCAGGCAUAGUUGAAACAUGGUUCAAGCAAGGGGAACACGUGGUUCAGGCAUGGGUCACAGGUGGUUCUGGCAUGGCUGGCAUGUGGUUCACACAUGCCUCGCAUGUGGUUCAGGGUGGCUGGCACAUUGAUCAGUCAUGGCUGGAAAGUGUUUAUAUCGUGUGUGACACAUGUUUCAGGUGUGGCUGAGACGUGUCUCAUGCGUAGCUGGCAAGUGGUUCAGGAGUGACCGGCACAUGAUUCGGGCAUGGAUGGCACAUGUUUCUGUCAUGGCCAGCACAUGGGUAAUGCGUGGCCGGCACGUGGAUCCAGCAUGAUCAUCAUGUGGACCUGGCAUGUCUGGGCCAUUCUUCAUGUGUGGUGGAAACGUGGUUCCGGCAUGGCUGGCAUGUGUUUCAGACAUUGAUGGCAUGUGGUUCAGGCAUGGGAGGCACCUGGAUCCAGCAUUUUUCACCCAUGGUUCAGACAUGGCAGGCACAGGGUUCAGGCAUUGCAGGCAUGGGGUUCAGGCAUUGCAGGCAUGUGGUUCAGGCAUGGAGGGCACGUGAUUCCAGCAUGGUUGUCACGUGGUUCAGGUUUG
ensembl:lncRNA